UCUGUAUAGAAUCAUCAGUCCAUCCACCAUGGAAAUACAGCCAGCUCUAGGAUGGAAGGCAGCAGCUGGUUAACAGCAUACAGAAACGCUACACAACAGCUUUCAGGAGAUUAAUCUUGGUUCUGCCCCUUGUGAUAUCAGGCCACCAUAGCCAGCAACAGAUCAACUGUAGGUGCACACAGGACAGGAGCUCAGUAUGGACCAGAGGCUCUUACAGCCCACUCUUCUGCGUGAGCCUGCAGCGGGCAACCAGACCGCUGUGCCUGUGGCAGCACCAUCCGCAGCCAUGCAGUGUGACUCCGGCAGCGUGGCGACAUCCUUUACAUCAGAAGAUGAGCUACAAGUGAAUAAACGCGGGCUGAAAACACAAAUAGCUUCUGUAAGCGGAGGGGGAAAUGUGGCAACAAACACACCCCAGAUUCAGAUUUAUCACUAGAACUGUAUGUUUUCCCCAGCAUGGCAGGGGGCAGCCAGACAGCAGUUUGAUCUCUCACAAACCUGUCCUGUAGGAGGGCUUUUCCUUCCCCUGCUCAUGUGCUCUGUGCCUGCAGUUUUGCAGGCAAUGUGGGAGGUUGGCAGGUUUCAAACCACGAGCGUCAUCUAUUUGUUCCAUUGUGUGCCUUGCCUCUGUCAGGUUUUCUGAACAAUGUUUAGCUGCUUUUUUGUGCUUCCUCUGAUUCUACAAUAAAAGCUGUUUUGAAAGUACUAAACUAGAGGGGUAUGAGAAAGGAAACACAGACUAUGGUCUGUGCGAAUCAGAGAGGCGAUGCACCAGGAAAG